CACCACAAUGAAGAGUAGCCCCUGCUCGCCGCAACUACAGGAAGCCCACACACAACAAUGAAGACCCAACACAGUCAUAAAUAAAUAAAUAAAUAAAUAAAAAAGUGCAAGGUUUGAAAUAUUGCAAGAAUUAUCAAAAUGUGACACAGAGACUGAAGAGAGCAAAUACUGUUGGGAAAAUGGUGCCUGAUGCUGGGUUGCUUCAAACCUUCAAUUUGUGAAAAAUGCAGUAUCUGCAAAGCACAAUAAAGCAAAGCUCAAUAAAAUGAGGGAAGGUUUCCACUGAGAAAUCUGCUGACAAUCUACUAGUAGCUCCUUUGUACAGAAAAGUUGCUUUUUCCUGGCUGCUUUCAAGAUUCUUUGCCUGUGACUUUUGACAAUUUGAUUAUAACGUCUGUCGGCUUACAAACUGGCCCCUCUACAAGGAGGGUAAGGAGAGACUGAAGAAUGAAGCAGACCACUUCAUACUGAAAAAUGCUAAACAGAUAACUACAGGCUAGGGAAAGGACUGUGCUAGCUGGCAUGCAGUAAGAGCAACAGGAACAACAGUAAUGGCAGUAACAUAUACGGACUUCCUGUGAGUUGGCCACUGUUUUGAUUUACAUGUAUUAACUCAUUUAGUGCUGACACCACUAUGAGGUAAGUACAAUCUUUAUUUCUCAGUUUACAGAUGAGGAAAGUGAGGUGCAGAGAGGUGAAAUAGCUUGUUCAAAGUUAUCCCGUUGUUAAGUAGUAAGGCCAGGAUUUGAACUUUUGAUAGUGGAGCUCCAGGCUGUACUUCACACCUUUGAACUAUCUUGCCUCUAGUGACUUGCUGCCUUUCUUCACUGUGGUUCACCUAGCUUCACCUUUGGGCUCAGGCCCAGACCAAGUUUUCCCUAGUUUCUCCUUUCAGGCCUCUUACAGCCACUCUGGCAAGUACUGCUUUCCAAAGCCAGUGGAAAACAUUGAUAGACUUCCCUAUUUUUUCUGUUGUAAAAAAGGCAAAUUGAAGUCAUGGAGUAAGAUACAAAUCUCUCCUGCUUUCAGGUGGCAAGGGAGGUGAACCUAAACCAACCUUGCUGUAUUUCUCAGAUUACUAUCUCAGCAU